CGGGGUAGAGUAAUACAUAAGUAACCCGCCCUAGACAGGGGGAUAACUAUUGGAAACGAUAGCUAAGACCGCAUAGGUACGGACACUGCAUGGUGACCGUAUUAAAAGUGCCUCAAAGCACUGGUAGAGGAUGGACUUAUGGCGCAUUAGCUGGUUGGCGGGGUAACGGCCCACCAAGGCGACGAUGCGUAGCCGACCUGAGAGGGUGACCGGCCACACUGGGACUGAGACACGGCCCAG
rnacentral:rRNA from 1 species